AAUGUUUCUCAUGAGCAAUACUACUGUCUACAGUCAUUGCCCAUUAACAUAGGCCCUACUCAUGUACUGGAUCUAGCUCUUUUGAUCACAACUCAUAUCUUGCCUAGAUAUAAACAACUGUACUAGAUUGAACUAGACAUUCUAAUUGGUUCUAUUUUCUUUUUUCAUUAUUCUCACACAUUCCAGUAGGUACCAAAUUGUGCUAUUUAUUCACUGUAGAUCUAGAUCUUAACUUUUCUCUUAACUACCAAAGAAGUACACAAAGGAUGUUGAAAGGUACCCAAAGGGCUCUAAUUGCUACCAUUCAAUGUGUGGAUUCAAGUAUUUACCCAGAUACUGCCACAAUAUGUUCUUAUUGUUUUCAAAGGAGUUUUCACACAGUGCCAGAAGCUGUAUAAAUACAUUUAACAGUAAGUUUUUAAGUAAUUAAUAAUUUAUUUUUAAACGUUAUAUGUAUAUUUCAAGAAGAAAUGAUGCUAUUUUAUUCCUAAGAGUUUAUCAAUAGGAUGGAUGCCACAAAACUCACUUGUUAUGCCAGAAACUCUUCCUACAAAACUUCCAUACAAGAAUUUGUCCAGUGCCUGUGAUCCUCUGAGUUGAAGGAGAAUGUGCUCCAUAAUACCUACUAGGAGCAUGCUGAUAGCUGAAAGUUCAUGAAUACUAUGUUGUCCUUGAUAUGAUGAUUCUGAAAACUACCAUUUCUGAAGACUUGAGCAUUAUUUCUAUAAUUUAAAAGAAUCUUUUCAGGAAAUAUUGUGUUUAUAAUAUUAAGAAAGUGAAGAUAAUAUUGUUCUUACUAAUAUUAUUGACUUAUUAAAAUAGAAAGCACAUCAUUACCAAUAUUCACUUGUCAAUAAAUGCAUUAUUCAAUUUUUAGUUACAUGUUCAGACUAUUAAAUUUUAUUAUUUAAAUUAUAGCAACUUUCUCUUUCAGUCAAGCUUAAGAUACAUUCCUGUAAAAAGUCUGUAAUAAUAAGUUAAUGUCGAUGUCAGACACUUACAAGUUUAAUCAUCUAUACUUCACAAAAAAAAAAAAGUUUGAAUGGUUUUCAUUUGUUUGUACAUCAAAUAUGUAUUAAUAUAAUUAUCAUUUUUAAAUGAAACAUUAAAUACUGAAGAUGACCAUUUCAA